rnacentral:rRNA from 1 species
AACAUGACUCUCAGCAAUGGAUAUCUUGGCUCUCGCCACGAUGAAGAACGUAGCAAAAUAUGACACUUGGUGUGAAUUGCAGAAUCCCAUGAAUCAUCAAGUCUUUGAACGCAACUUGCACCCGAGGCUUUGGUUGAGGGCACGUCUGCCUGGGUGUCGCAC